AACGAACCCUGGCGGCGGGCUAACCCCAUGCAAGUUGAACGGGAAAGGGGCAACCCCCGGUAGCGUGGCAGAAGGGUGAGUAACACGGGGUAACCUACCCGGAGGUGGGGGAUAACCCUUCGAAAGAGGGCUAAUACCGCAUGACACCGCGGGACCUCGGUCCUUGCGAUCAAAGCUGGCCUCUGUUUACAAGCUAGCGCCACCGGAUGGGCCCGCGCCCCCAUUAGCUAGUUGGUGAGGUAACGGCUCACCAAGGCUACGAUGGGUAGCCGGCCUGAGAGGGCGAUCGGCCACACUGGAACUGCGACACGGUCCAGACUCCUACGGGAGGCAGCAGUGAGGAAUAUUGCGCAAUGGGCGAAAGCCUGACGCAGCGACGCCGCGUGGAGGAUGAAGGUCUUCGGAUUGUAAACUCCUGUCGAGUGGGACGAAUGCCGUGAGGGUGAACAAUCCUUGCGGUUGACGGUACCGCUGGAGGAAGCCCCGGCUAACUCCGUG
rnacentral:rRNA from 1 species